UACGUAGGGCGCAAGCGUUGUCCGGAAUUAUUGGGCGUAAAGAGCUCGUAGGCGGUCUGUUACGUCCGCUGUGAAAACCCAGGGCUUAACCCUGGGCUUGCAGUGGAUACGGGCAGACUAGAGGCAGGUAGGGGAGAAUGGAAUUCCCGGUGUAGCGGUGAAAUGCGCAGAUAUCGGGAGGAACACCAGUGGCGAAGGCGACUGCCUGGACCGUGGCUGACGCUGAGGCGCGAAAGCGUGGGGAGCGAGUCCGG
rnacentral:rRNA from 1 species